AAAAAAAAAAAUUGGAACGAUACAAAGAAGAUUAGCAUGGGCCCUGCGAAAAAAGAUAACAUGCAAAUUUGUGACAUUUUCU
rfam:Chlorocebus sabaeus isolate 1994-021 chromosome 6, whole genome shotgun sequence.